rnacentral:rRNA from 1 species
GCAAGUCGAGCGCAGUCCUUCGGGACCGAGCGGCGGACGGGUUAGUAACGCGUGGGAACAUACCCAGAUCUAAGGAAUAGCCUCGGGAAACUGAGAGUAAUACCUUAUACGCCCUUCGGGGGAAAGAUUUAUCGGAGAUGGAUUGGCCCGCGUAAGAUUAGAUAGUUGGUGGGGUAACGGCCUACCAAGUCGACGAUCUUUAGCUGGUUUGAGAGGAUGAUC